AAGAUUUUAAGUUAAUUAAACUACUAACCUUCAAAGUUGGAAAUAAAUAUUCAUUUUAAAUCUUA
rnacentral:tRNA from 1 species